UGUGCACGCCUAAUCCGUCUGACGCACUGCUGUGGGCGCUUCGCUGAGGGUGGCAGACGGCACUCAGCUAACCCAAAGUGACAAGUGCCUGGCGGGACAUUCAGUCUGUACAAA
rfam:Equus caballus chromosome 8, whole genome shotgun sequence.